GCUAAUGUAGCUUAAACAAAGCGUGACACUGAAGAUGUCAAGAUGAACCCUAU
rnacentral:tRNA from 1 species